CCUACGGGUGGCAGCAGUGGGGAAUAUUGCACAAUGGGGGAAACCCUGAUGCAGCGACGCCGCGUGAGCGAUGAAGCAUUUCGGUAUGUAAAGCUCUAUCAGCAGGGAAGAAAAUGACGGUACCUGACUAAGAAGCCCCGGCUAACUACGUGCCAGCAGCCGCGGUAAUACGUAGGGGGCAAGCGUUAUCCGGAUUUACUGGGGGUAAAGGGAGCGUAGACGGCUUGGCAAGGCAGGUGUGAAAGGCGGGGGCUCAACCCCAGGACUGCAUUUGAAACUGUAAGGCUGGAGUGCAGGAGAGGCAGGUGGAAUUCCUAGUGUAGCGGUGAAAUGCGUAGAUAUUAGGAGGAACACCAGUGGCGAAGGCGGCCUGCUGGACGAUGACUGACGUUGAGGCUCGAAAGCGUGGGGAGCAAACAGGAUUAGAUACCCGAGUAGUC
rnacentral:rRNA from 1 species